CCUACGGGAGGCAGCAGUGAGGAAUAUUGGUCAAUGGACGCGAGUCUGAACCAGCCAAGUAGCGUGAGGGAUGACUGCCCUAUGGGUUGUAAACUUCUUUUAUAUGGGAGUAAACUGUUACACGUGUGGGCUUUUGUAUGUACCAUAUGAAUAAGAAUAGGCUAACUCAGUGCCAGCAGCCGCGGUAAUACGGAGGAUCCGAGCGUUAUGCGGAUUUAUUGGGUUUAAAGGGAGCGUAGGUGGAUUGUUAAGUCAGUUGUGAAAGUUUGCGGCUCAACCGUACAAUUGCAGUUGAAACUGGCAGUCUAGAGUACAGUAGAGGUGGGUGGAAUUCGUGGUGUAGCGGUGAAAUGCUUAGAUAUCACGAAGAACUCCGAUGGCGAAGGCAGCCCACUGGACUGCGACUGACACUGAGGUUCGAAAGUGUGGGGAUCAAACAGGAUUAGAUACCCUUGUAGUC
rnacentral:rRNA from 1 species